UGAGGAAUAUUGGACAAUGGAUGGAAAUCUGAUCCAGCCAUGCCGCGUGCAGGAAGACGGCCCUAUGGGUUGUAAACUGCUUUUGUAUGGGAGCAAUAAGCUAUUUGCGAAUAGUGAUGAGAGUACCAUACGAAUAAGCAUCGGCUAACUCCGUGCCAGCAGCCGCGGUAAUACGGAGGAUGCAAGCGUUAUCCGGAUUUAUUGGGUUUAAAGGGUGCGUAGGCGGUUCGGUAAGUCAGUGGUGAAAGUUUACUGCUUAACAGUAAAAAUGCCAUUGAUACUGUCGGGCUAGAAUAUGGUUGCUGUGGGUGGAAUGUGUGGUGUAGCGGGUGAAAUGCUUAGAUAUCACACAGAAUAUCGAUUGCGAAAGGCAGCUCACAAAGCCAUUAUUGACGCUGAGCACGAAAGUGUGGGGAUCAAACA
rnacentral:rRNA from 1 species